GACGGGGCCCGCACAAGCAGCGGAGCGUGUGGUUUAAUUCGAUGCUACACGAAGAACCUUACCCGGGUUUGACAUGCAAGUGGUAGUGAUCCGAAAGGUGAACGACCCGCAAGGGAGCUUGCACAGGUGCUGCAUGGCUGUCGUCAGCUCGUGCCGUGAGGUGUUGGGUUAAGUCCCGCAACGAGCGCAACCCUUAUCAUUAGUUGCCAACAGGUGAAGCUGGGAACUCUAAUGAGACUGCCUGGGUUAACCAGGAGGAAGGUGAGGAUGACGUCAAGUCCGCAUGGCCCUUAUGUCUGGGGCUACACACGUGCUACAAUGGUCGGUACAGAAGGCAGCGAAACCGCGAGGUGAAGCAAAUCCAACAAAGCCGAUCUCAGUUCAGAUUGUAGUCUGCAACUCGACUACAUGAAGACGGAAUUGCUAGUAAUGGCGAGUCAGCAACAUCGCCGUGAAUACGUUCCCGGGUCUU
rnacentral:rRNA from 1 species